AGUUUAACUGUUGUUCCCCACAGUCGGCUUCCUCAAAACCUCAAUUGGAAGCUACUGUUCUAAGUAUCUCAGUAAGUGAUAGAAAGGAUAAUUGCACAAUAUCAAUGCAUAUAGAUUCAGAGUGCUCAACAACCCAAGAUGAAGCCUCACACGCUCUGAAUUAGGAUUAUCAAGAUUUGGGCGUUGCAAUUGGAGCAUGCUGUAUAUUGUUCUGCUCACACUGAUCCUCCCACCACACAGCUUCUUCAGCAAAUAGGUAAAUUUAUAUAACUGUCUUGGGAGAGAAACUUAGGUAGGCCCUGAACUCGUGUCGGGCACUCCUCAAAUUUUUCUCCUAACGUCGAUGCAUUUUCUUCUUAAAAUGUUCAUGUUGUAGAUGUAGAACAGGUUGGGCCAUGGUGGCUUCAGCCCACCUUGAUUAAUUUUUGGGCUGACCAUGCAAUGUCAAGUGCUUCAACUAUUUCUUCUUUGGUUUUUUUUUUUGUUUCCAUUUUUUUUUAUAUUUUUUAUAUUAUUAUUAGUUUCAAAUUCAAAAUGGGGGUAAGGCUAGCCGACAUUCACCUCUCCCAGACCCUACGUAAAGCGGGAGCCUUGUGCACUGGGUACGUUAUUUUAUUAGUUUCAAAUUCAAAUCCUAAUCUAUGAGCUCAGUGAUACUGUUAUAAAAUCCAAGCCUAGGAAGUUAUAUAUUUUAAACUCCAGUUGCCUGGUUUUCCUUGGAGACAACAAUGUUUGAGAAGAACUUGGAGACAACAAUGUUAAGUUGAAUUUGAUGACCAUUGUUACAAAAUUCAUUAGGGAUACCCAACCUUACAAAUUGUGAGAAAAUCAAGCGACUAAGAGCAUCUCCAAAGGAGAUGCCAAAAUG